UACGUAGGGGGCAAGCGUUGUCCGGAUUUAUUGGGCGUAAAGAGCGUGUAGGCGGUUAGGUAGGUCCGUUGUGAAAACUCGAGGCUCAACCUCGAGACGCCGAUGGAAACCAUCUAACUAGAGUCCGGAAGAGGAGAGUGGAAUUCCUGGUGUAGCGGUGAAAUGCGCAGAUAUCAGGAGGAACACCGAUGGCGAAGGCAGCUCGCUGGGACGGUACUGACGCUGAGGCGCGAAAGCGUGGGGAGCAAACAGG
rnacentral:rRNA from 1 species